GACGGAGGGUGCUAGCGUUGUUCGGAAUCACUGGGCGUAAAGGGCGCGUAGGCGGCGCCGCAAGUCGGCUGUGAAAGCCCGGGGCCCAACCCCGGAGGCGCAGCCGAGACUGUGGUGCUGGAGGCCGGAAGAGGAGGGUGGAAUACCCAGUGUAGAGGUGAAAUUCGUAGAUAUUGGGUGGAACACCGGUGGCGAAAGCGGCUCUCUGGUCCGGUCCUGACGCUGAGGCGCGAAAGCGUGGGGAGCAAACAGG
rnacentral:rRNA from 1 species